UGAGGAACAUGACCUUCGGCGGGGGAUAGCCGGCCCAACGGCCGGGUAAUACCGCGUACGACCAUUUGGGGACAUCCCCGAGUGGUGAAAGCAGCAAUGCGCCGAUGGAGUGCCUCGCGGCCUAUCAGCUAGUUGGUGGGGUAACGCUCACAAAGGCAACGACGGGUAGCUGGUCUGAGAGGAUGGCCAGCCACAUUGGGACUGAGACACGGCCAGACUCCGUACGGGAGG
rnacentral:rRNA from 1 species